AUGAGAAUCAGCUUCAGAAGCGUUGCCUGACUGAUCCAAGAGCUGGGAUUGGAACCCAGACAGUCUGACUCUCUCAGCUCUUUGCCUCCCCUUGAGAACGGCGGUUGUGAGGUGCGUCUCUGGCCUGCAGUUCCACGUGUGAGGGGAAUGAGACUCAUGCUGCUGUUUAGGAGGCUUUGUGUCUGUGGCCAAAGAUGAGGAAACUAAGGCCAGAGUGGGAAGUGACUGGCCUAAGGUUAUACAUCUUUUCACAGAGCCUAAAUUAUCGCUGCAGGUUGUCUAUACUUGGAAUGGAAAAAAAGUAUCUGACUAUCCCUGAGGCUGGCAGAUAUGCAGUCAAACCGCACUCCUUUGACGACGUGCUAAACAAGGUCACACCCAAUCAACUGAAGACCAAACCAAUUGAAUAGAGCCAAAAGCCUCAGAGGGAACUUUGCCCACCUGCCUGAUGAGCUGGAACGUUGGUCUUCUCUCGCCCUUGGACUAGAACUUACACCAUUAGCUCUCCUGGUUCUCAGGCUUUUGGAAUCAGAUUGGAACUACACCAGAGCCUCUCUUUCCUGGGUCUCCAGCUUACUGACUGCUGAUCUUAGGACUUCUCAGCCUCCAUAAUCAAGUGAACCAAUUCCUUACACUAAAUCUCUUGUAAAUAAUAAGAUGUAUAUAUCUCUCUCUAUAUAUACAUCUUACUGGUUCUCUUUCU
rnacentral:lncRNA from 1 species